rnacentral:lncRNA from 1 species
GUCUCGAUCUGUCACCCAGGCUGUAGUGCAAUGGCCGCAGUCUUGGCUUACUGCAACCUCCAUCUCCCGGGUUCAAGCGAUUCUGCCUCAGCCUCCUUAGUAGCUGGGAUUACAGGCGUUAGCCAGCACACCCAGCUAGUUUUUGUUUUUUUAGUAGAGACAGGCUUUCACCAUGGUCUCGAACUCCUGACCUCAGGCGAUCCGCCUGCCUUGGCCUCCCAAAAUGCUGGGAUUAUAGGUGUGAGCCAUGGCACCUGGCCUAAUACUACUUUUAACUACCAUUUUCACUUUUUAUUAGUUCAAGAAAAGGCAUACACAUUUAUUCAACAUGUAUACCUGGGGAGAACCAGUCAUUACCCCGAUGUUCAUUAUUUUGAUCACCACGAUAGAGCUGACUACUCUGCUAUGUAGUGCAUUUUGGGACUGCACUUAUGUAUGUUUUUGUUUAACGUGGACAAAGACUUACAGAUAGGUGCAAAAAAUAAAUCCUCUUUUGCAACCCAGAACUCAUUGUUCAGUAUGAGUUUUGAUACAUAUAAGAAGGGAUAUUAUGAUACCUGAGACAGUUGAUUGAUGGGAGUAUUGAUAGCCAUAAAGGUUGGUUCCAGGCCAGGUGCAAUGGGUCAAGCCUGCAAUCCCCACACCAAGGUGGGAGUAUUGCUUGAAACCAGGAGUUCAAGACCAGCCUAGGCAAGAAAGUAAGAAACACAUCUCCACAAAAAUUUAAAAAUUAGCUGGGUACUGGGGCAUGUGCCUGUAGUUGGAGUUACUCAGAAAGGGGGGAGGCUGAGGCAGAGUUGGAGGCUGCACUGAGCUUUGAUGGCACCACUGUACUCCAGCCUGAGUAACAAAGACAGACCCUGUCUCUUAAGAAAAAAAGGUUGAUUCCAGGCCUGUAGAAUAGAUAAACAGCAUGGGAUA